rnacentral:rRNA from 1 species
CCUGGUUGAUUCUGCCCUUUGUCAUAUGCUUGUCUCAAAGAUUAAGCCAUGCAUGUCUAAGUAUAAACACGUUAUACUGUGAAACUGCGAAUGGCUCAUUAAAUCAGUUAUAGUUUAUUUGAUGGUUUUUGCUACAUGGAUAACUGUGGUAAUUCUAGAGCUAAUACAUGCGUAUAAGCCCCGACUUCUGGAAGGGGUGUAUUUAUUAGAUAAAAAUCAACACUGUUGGUGAAUCAUGAUAACUUCUCGGAUCGCAUGGCCUCGUGCUGGCGAUACUUCAUUCAAAUAUCUGCCCUAUCAACUGUCGAUGGUAGGAUAGAGGCCUACCAUGGUUGCAACGGGUAACGGGGAAUAAGGGUUCGAUUCCGGAGAGGGAGCCUGAGAAACGGCUACCACAUCCAAGGAAGGCAGCAGGCGCGCAAAUUACCCAAUCCCGACACGGGGAGGUAGUGACAAUAUGUAACAAUAUACGGCUUUAUCGUCGUAUAAUUGGAAUGAGUACAAUUUAAAUCCCUUAACGAGGAACAAUUGGAGGGCAAGUCUGGUGCCAGCAGCCGCGGUAAUUCCAGCUCCAAUAGCGUAUAUUAAAGUUGUUGCAGUUAAAAAGCUCGUAGUUGGACCUUGGGCCUGGACGGGCGGUCCGCCUCACGGCGUGUACUGUCUUGCCGGGCCUUUCCUCUUGGUGAUCUGUUGUUUCGGCAGCAGGGAACCAGGACCUUUACUUUGAAAAAAUUAGAGUGUUCAAAGCAGGCUCGACGCCGGAAUAUAUUAGCAUGGAAUAAUAAAAUAGGACGUGCGGUUCUAUUUUGUGGUUUUUGGAAUCGCCGUAAUGAUUA